AUGCUGGCAAAACAAUGUUGGAGACUUAUCACAAAUACUGAUACUCUAUGUGCUCAAGUUCUAAAAGCAAAGUACUACCCUCACUGCAAUUUACUUAAGGCGGGCCCAAAAAAAGGUUCAUCAGUCACCUGGCAAAGCAUUGUGGCUGGCCUUUGUACCUUCAAGAGAGGUCACAUUUGGAGAGUUGGCACCGGUGAAAUGAUUAAUAUAUGGGAGGAUGACUGGAUCCCAGGAAGCCCAUCUAGAAUGAUUCAAACACCAAGAGGUCAAGUACUACUAUAGACAGUUAGUGAUUUGAUUGACCCUGCUACUGGAAAAUGGGAUGAGCCACUGAUCAAUGAUAUUUUUAACCCACUCGACGUGGAAAGAAUUCUGCGGAUACCCUUAGGAGAACACCUCAACGAGGAUUUUGUGGCCUGGCAUAAUACAAAAUCGUAUAUGUUCUCAGUGAAGUCGGCAUAUUACAUUGAAUGGGACCAUGCUCAUAGACACCGACUGACUAGAGCGGAUGGACAAGGUACAGCCACACGCAAUCCAGUAUGGGAUAUUUUGUGGAAGCUUAAAGUGCCUACCAAAGUUAAAAUUUUUGGUUGGAAAGCUCUGCAUGGCAUAAUUCCGGGUUUGUCAGUCCUCACUAAUAGACAUAUUCCUACCACUGGUCAGUGUCCGGUUUGCUCUUCGGGUCCCGAAGAUAUUAGACACUUGAUGUUCACCUGCAAUCGAGCACAAGAAGUUUGGAACUCUCUGGGCAUGCGAGACAUUAUU
rnacentral:rRNA from 1 species